rnacentral:rRNA from 1 species
AUUGAACGCUGGCGGCAGGCCUAACACAUGCAAGUCGAGCGGAUGAAGGGAGCUUGCUCCUGGAUUCAGCGGCGUACGGGUGAGUAAUGCCUAGGAAUCUGGCUGGUAGUGGGGGACAACGUUUCGAAAGGAACGCUAAUACCGCAUACGUCCUACGGGAGAAAGCAGGGGACCUUCGGGCCUUGCGCUAUCAGAUGAGCCUAGGUCGGAUUAGCUAGUUGGUGAGGUAGUGGCUCACCAAGGCGACGAUCCGUAACUGGUCUGAGAGGAUGAUCAGUCACACUGGAACCGAGACACGGUCCAGACUCCUACGGGAGGCAGCAGUGGGGAAUAUUGGACAAUGGGCGAAAGCCUGAUCCAGCCAUGCCGCGUGUGUGAAGAAGGUCUUCGGAUUGUAAAGCACCUUAAGUUGGGAGGAAGGGUUGUAGAUUAAUACUCUGCAAUUUUGACGUUACCGACAGAAUAAGCACCGGCUAACUCUGUGCCAGCCGCCGCGGUAAAAC